AUUGAACGCUGGCGGCAGGCCUAACACAUGCAAGUCGAGCGAGCGGCGGACGGGUGAGUAAUGUCUGGGAAACUGCCUGAUGGAGGGGGAUAACUACUGGAAACGGUAGCUAAUACCGCAUACCAUCAGAUGUGCCCAGAUGGGAUUAGCUAGUAGGUGGGGUAACGGCUCACCUAGGCGACGAUCCCUAGCUGGUCUGAGAGGAUGACCAGGCCCACUUGGAAUGGGGCAACGUCCCGAACCCUAAGGGAGGGAGCCGUGGGGAAAAUUUGACCAAUGGGGCCAGGCCUAAUGAGGCCUGGCGGGGGGGGGAAGGAGGGCUUCGGGGUGUAAAGCCACUUCCACCGGGAAGCGUUUCCCGCAGAAGAAGCACCGGCUAACUCCGUGCCAGCAGCCGCGGUAAUAC
rnacentral:rRNA from 1 species